rnacentral:rRNA from 1 species
CCUACGGGGGGCAGCAGUGGGGAAUUUUGGACAAUGGGCGCAAGCCUGAUCCAGCCAUGCCGCGUGCGGGAAGAAGGCCUUCGGGUUGUAAACCGCUUUUGUCAGGGAAGAAACGGCCUACGAUAAUACCGUGGGCUAAUGACGGUACCUGAAGAAUAAGCACCGGCUAACUACGUGCCAGCAGCCGCGGUAAUACGUAGGGUGCAAGCGUUAAUCGGAAUUACUGGGCGUAAAGCGUGCGCAGGCGGUUAUGCAAGACAGAUGUGAAAUCCCCGGGCUCAACCUGGGAACUGCAUUUGUGACUGCAUGACUUGAGUACGGUAGAGGGGGAUGGAAUUCCGCGUGUAGCAGUGAAAUGCGUAGAUAUGCGGAGGAACACCGAUGGCGAAGGCAAUCCCCUGGACCUGUACUGACGCUCAUGCACGAAAGCGUGGGGAGCAAACAGGAUUAGAUACCCCAGUAGUC